rnacentral:ncRNA from 1 species
UUAGCUAUUUUAGGUAAGUUUGUAUUCAUGAACUCAUGGGUGCAAACAACUCGUUUGUAUCUAUGAUGGCUAGGGUGUUUUGAGAUGACUUUCAGCCACGUAGAUGAAAAUCUAUAGUGGCUUUUAUUUUUGGUUAUGUAUGAAAGGUAUUCACUGUAGGUUUUCUGUAACUUUAC